GGCUGAAUGGUGUAGCGGUAUCACGCAUCGUUCACAAUAGUUGCUGGACUGAAAUCAUUCAUCCAAUCGCAAAGAUUGAUCGAACCGAUGAGGUCCUGGGUUCGACCCCCAGUUUAGUCA